UACAGAGGGUGCAAGCGUUAAUCGGAAUUACUGGGCGUAAAGCGUGCGUAGACGGUUGCGUAAGUCAGAUGUGAAAGCCCCGGGCUCAACCUGGGAAUUGCAUUUGAGACUGCGUAGCUAGGGUGCGGAAGAGGGAAGCGGAAUUUCCGGUGUAGCGGUGAAAUGCGUAGAUAUCGGAAGGAACACCAGUGGCGAAAGCACUCUGCUGGGCCGACACUGACACUGAGAGACGAAAGCUAGGGGAGCGAAUGGG
rnacentral:rRNA from 1 species